GAUGAACGCUGGCGGCGUGCUUAACACAUGCAAGUCGAACGGAAAGGCCUCUGCUUGCAGAGGUACUCGAGUGGCGAACGGGUGAGUAACACGUGGGUGAUCUGCCCUGCACUUCGGGGAUAAGCCUGGGAAACUGGGUCUAAUACCGGAUAGGACGAUGGUUUGGAUGCCAUUGCGGAAAGUUUUUCGGUGUGGGAUGAGCUCGCGGCCUAUCAGCUUGUUGGUGGGGUAAUGGCCUACCAAGGCGUCGACGGGUAGCCGGCCUGAGAGGGUGUACGGCCACAUUGGGACUGAGAUACGGCCCAGACUCCUACGGGAGGCAGCAGUGGGGAAUAUUGCACAAUGGGCGCAAGCCUGAUGCAGCGACGCCGCGUGGGGGAUGACGGCCUUCGGGUUGUAAACUCCUUUCGUCAGGGACGAAGCGAAAGUGACGGUACCUGGAUAAGAAGCACCGGCUAACUACGUG
rnacentral:rRNA from 1 species